rnacentral:rRNA from 1 species
UACGUAGGGGGCGAGCGUUGUCCGGAUUCACUGGGCGUAAAGAGCUCGUAGGCGGCUUGAUAAGUCGGGUGUGAAACCCCCAGGCUCAACCUGGGAACGCCACUCGAUACUGUCAUGGCUAGAGUCCGGUAGGGGACCAUGGAAUUCCUGGUGUAGCGGUGAAAUGCGCAGAUAUCAGGAGGAACACCAAUGGCGAAGGCAGCUCGCUGGGACGGUACUGACGCUGAGACGCGAAAGCGUGGGGAGCAAACAGG